UAGAUCUAAAGUUCUAUGGAUCAUAGGUGAUUAAGAAACCACCUAUGAUUAGGAUAUGUCUCUACAUCUUUAAUAUGCCAAUCUAAUAAUUAAGGAGUAAAAACUUGUAGAGAAAAUUAAUAGUAUUUUUUUUUAAAUAUUGAUUGAAGAGAUCUCAUGAGAGACACAUCAAAUAAGCCCUAGAGGAAUGAGUUCACUUCCC
rnacentral:lncRNA from 1 species